CCGUGGUAAUUGGACACUGAAGUCUGGCUUUCAGUGUUCUCACUACUUUUUAUUAUUCCUAGUGCCUGGUCUCCACCCUUCCACUGACACGAAACGCCUUCUCUUCUCUCCACUCUGAAGACAGUGGAUGGGAAUGUCCGUUGGUUCAAACCCAUCUUUCCUGAGGCUUUACAUGCCCCCCACCCCCAGAUUCUGGUCCUCGUCACCUCGUGCAGUGUCUGCUGGAACAACACAGUGACUGUGUGCUUACUGUGUGCGCAGGUUUCCACCCGCCCGCCGCCUGCCUGCCCCGCUGGGCCCGGGCCACUGGACUGUGGGCUUGCUGACUGCAUCCUGCUGGCACCGGUCACCAUGUUCCGCUGUCACCGGGACUUCCUGGCGAGGCGCAGCAGAAACCAGAGGCUCAAUCCGACUUGGAUGUGGUCCCCUUGGCGAGGCAGCUGCUUCUAGAGGCUCCCGCGGUCCUUGGCUUGCGGCCCUUCCUCCAUCUGCGAAGCCCAAGGCACAGCCUCUCCCUCCGACUGCCACCCCCGCUGCCUCUCUUACAAGGCUUCUGUGAUGACAUCGGGCCACCCAGGUGUUGACGGAAAAUAAUGUCCAACCUAGAAGCUGAGCACUGUAUCUUCUUUGGUGGACUUUCUGAGGACUCGAGCCUGGGAGGUGGCCUCUCAGAUUGAUCGCUCCGGGAGACUGCCACAGAGGAGCCAGGACACACAGGAGUUUUACUGCCAAGACCAGGUAGUCGCAACAUCAAAAGACGGCUGUUAAUUAAAGAAAACCAGACGCCUCAAAUUAAGGAAU